rnacentral:sRNA from 1 species
GCUUUUUUGUCUGGUUGUUGUCUUUUUGACUCAUUCCCCAUUUCCCUUCUCAAUUUAUUGAAAAUAUAAUAAAUUCACGAAGUUGUAUUAGUAUAUAAAAUUGAGAAUGGAAAUGGGGAAUGUGUCAAAGAGACAACAACCCGACCAAAUAA